CAGUCGCCGCGGUAAUACGAAGGGGGCUAGCGUUGCUCGGAAUGACUGGGCGUAAAGGGCGCGUAGGCGGCGGCCAAAGUCAGGCGUGAAAUUCCCGGGCUCAACCUGGGGACUGCGUUUGAUACUUGGUUGCUUGAGUGGGGAAGAGGGUCGUGGAAUUCCCAGUGUAGAGGUGAAAUUCGUAGAUAUUGGGAAGAACACCGGUGGCGAAGGCGGCGACCUGGUCCUUUACUGACGCUGAGGCGCGAAAGCGUGGGGAGUAAACAGGAUUAGAUACCCCGGUAGUCCCUGUCUCUUAUAC
rnacentral:rRNA from 1 species